rnacentral:lncRNA from 10 species
ACAGUUGCCCAAACUUCAUGGUCCCGGGGCACCCGUUCUGACCACAUGAGACAAUCUGAUGUGAUUCUGCCAGAGGAGCACCACUCAAGGGGCCUUCACAGGGCAAACCUGGAUGAUGACACUGAAGCACAAAGAAGGUAAUUUACCCAUAACCACAUAGCUGACACAUCAUAUUUAAACUGCUAUAAACCAAAGAAAGAAAAUCUUGAAGGAAGGUAGAGAAAAGAAAAGACACAUUAUACGCAGAGAAGCAAAGGUAAGAGUCAGUAAACUUACUAUCAGAAAUUGUGUAAUCCAGAAGACAAUGGAGUGAUAUCUUUCAACUGCUGGGUGAAGAAACCCUCUCAACUCAGAGUAUUAUCCUCAGCAAAAAUACUCUUUCAAAAAUGAAGAAAAAAGAAAGACAUUUUUCAGACAACCAAAAAGAGGGAAUUCAUUACUAGCAGACCUGUACUGCAAGAAAUGCUCAGGGACAUUCCUUAGGUGGAAAGAAUGUGAUACCAGACAGAAACUUGUGUCUACACAAAGAAAUAAAGAUCUCCAGAAAUGAUUGAAAUGGAGGUAACU